GUUGUGUCUUCUCCUAAGUGGAAGAAGAAUAUAUAGAAAUGGGCGGUCUGCUUUGCCCGUUCUACCAAAAUCAUUGAUAGCAAUAACAUUUUCAUGAUCUUUUAUUGUUGUUUAAGUUCAUUGGAGUAUUUUCAUUCUCAGUCAUCCUAUGCCGUGAUAUUUAUUAAAUUAAAACACAUAUGUUUAAACAGGCGCUUAGCCGUAGUUCAUCACCACCAAAUAUUCGAAUUUAAUUAUGAACCCCAUCAGAUUAUUUCGAUAGUUUCUUGAAUCAAAAACUGCUCCACAUGACAAAUGGACUCCCUGGCAGACCACGUGCAAAGGAAAACCAAAUUCAGGGUGCAGUUGGGGAAACACGGGGCAGUCAGCAGUGGAUACGUACGCCCCAUCACGCGCUGCUGAGAAUGAGUUCAGUCCAUGUGGCUGUGCAUGGCGCCGCAUUUGAGCUUCUGGCAAAUACUACAAGGGGAUUACUGGGCUAAGUUCCCAUUUCAGUUAUGGCUUAUCACCAACAAGGGGGAAGUAUAGCAAAAUAAAAAAGAAAAAAAAAAAGAAUAAUAAAAGUUAGAAUCAUAAACGG
rnacentral:sRNA from 1 species